rnacentral:rRNA from 1 species
UACGGAGGGUGCAAACGUUGCUCGGAAUCAUUGGGCGUAAAGCGCACGUAGGCGGCUAGAUAAGUCGGGUGUGAAAGCCCUGGGCUCAACCCAGGAAGUGCAUUCGAAACUGUCUAGCUUGAAUCUCGGAGGGGGUCAGAGAAUUCCCGGUGUAGAGGUGAAAUUCGUAGAUAUCGGGGAGGAAUACCAGUGGCGAAGGCGCUGACCUGGACGAAGAUUGACGCUGAGGUGCGAAAGCGCGGGGAGCAAACAGG